UACGUAGGGUGCGAGCGUUAAUCGGAAUUACUGGGCGUAAAGCGUGCGCAGGCGGUUGUGCAAGACAGAUGUGAAAUCCCCGGGCUCAACCUGGGAACUGCCUUUGUGACUGCAUGACUAGAGUACGGCAGAGGGGGAUGGAAUUCCGCGUGUAGCAGUGAAAUGCGUAGAUAUGCGGAGGAACACCGAUGGCGAAGGCAAUCCCCUGGGCCUGUACUGACGCUCAUGCACGAAAGCGUGGGGAGCAAACAGG
rnacentral:rRNA from 1 species